rnacentral:rRNA from 1 species
AUACGGAGGGGACUAGCGUUGUUCGGAAUUACUGGGCGUAAAGAGUUCGUAGGCGGACUGAUAAGUAAGAGGUGAAAUCCCAGGGCUCAACCCUGGAACUGCCUUUUAAACUGUCAGUCUAGAGACCGGAAGAGGUUAGGGGAAUACCUAGUGUAGAGGUGAAAUUCGUAGAUAUUAGGUGGAACACCAGUGGCGAAGGCGCCUACCUGGUCCGGUACUGACGCUGAGGAACGAAAGCGUGGGGAGCAAACAGGAUUAGAAACCCUAGUAGUCC